rnacentral:sRNA from 1 species
GCACCCAGAACACUCCCAUCCUUCGCGAGGUUGACUCGUGAUCUACCACUCUACGGAAUGUAAACCGCAAACCCGAGAAUUUUUGUGCUUCUCAAUGAGCAAGGCUGAACAAUGGGGGCGGAGGAGUUGACACAUCAAUAUUUUAUGUUUCGCACAAUUUUCUAGAACACAGAGGAAGUUUUGAAUGGCCGUCUCGUAUCUCAAAUAGUUGGCUUGGCCAGUGAGCUUGUUACUGAGGUUCAUGCACCAUCAGGUUUUAAAGAGGACGCUUGGGAGGGAGGGGGAAGAACUGGCAGCGUAUGGGUCGAGUGAUUGGUCCCGGGCAAUACAGCCUUCCUCUUGCUUCGAAGCAAUCGUUAAAAUUUUCAGGAAUUUUAACCAAGUUAGUAGGAUGAUCUAGCGGAUUAAAACGAUCAAAAGCCACGCAAAAUUAUGAUCACUUGCAGCGACAGAAGUUGGCGUUCCAAUCCGACUAUAUAUAUUUUAUGACCUAAGUAACGGGCUUGAAUUUUAAUGCCACAACGACAAACCCUAGCUCCCAGAAAAUAUCCGAGUCGAAUCAUAUUUGUAUGUUACCGGCUUGUUUUCUCUUUCCCCUUUACCUCAUUUCCCAAUGAGGUGAUUUCCAGCCGGGUUGUGGUUCGCAAAUGAGGUGGUGGCAUCGAUAGAAUCCGGUUAUGACUGGGUUCAGGAUGCAACUGGCUACAUUGUUCUCACAUAAGAGUUGAAGACCAAUUGGUUGUAUGGUUACAAAGAAGGCGCGCAACAAAGCUCCAAACAGCAAGUGGUCGAUCAACAUAGAAUCUAUCCGCGG